rnacentral:rRNA from 1 species
UGCAGUCGAGCGGACAGAAGGGAGCUUGCUCCCGGAUGUUAGCGGCGGACGGGUGAGUAACACGUGGGUAACCUGCCUGUAAGACUGGGAUAACUCCGGGAAACCGGAGCUAAUACCGGAUAGUUCCUUGAACCGCAUGGUUCAAGGAUGAAAGACGGUUUCGGCUGUCACUUACAGAUGGACCCGCGGCGCAUUAGCUAGUUGGUGGGGUAAUGGCUCACCAAGGCGACGAUGCGUAGCCGACCUGAGAGGGUGAUCGGCCACACUGGGACUGAGACACGGCCCAGACUCCUACGGGAGGCAGCAGUAGGGAAUCUUCCGCAAUGGACGAAAGUCUGACGGAGCAACGCCGCGUGAGUGAUGAAGGUUUUCGGAUCGUAAAGCUCUGUUGUUAGGGAAGAACAAGUGCGAGAGUAACUGCUCGCACCUUGACGGUACCUAACCAGAAAGCCACGGCUAACUACGUGCCAGCAGCCGCGGUAAUACGUAGGUGGCAAGCGUUGUCCGGAAUUAUUGGGCGUAAAGGGCUCGCAGGCGGUUUCUUAAGUCUGAUGUGAAAGCCCCCGGCUCAACCGGGGAGGGUCAUUGGAAACUGGGAAACUUGAGUGCAAAAAA